CGGAGGUAUCCCUCGCCGGCCAGCUUCUUAGAGGGCACUACGCCUUUCAAGCCGAAGUUUGAGCAAACAGGUCUGUGAUGCCCUUAGAUGUUUGAUGCCGCAACGCGCGCUACACUGAUGUAUCACGAGGCAUAUAGCCUUGGCCGACAGCGCCCGGGUAAUCUUUGAAUUUCAUCGUGAUGGGGAUAGAUCAUUGCAAUUGUUGGUCUUCAACGAGGCAAUUCCUAGUAAGGCGCGCAGGUCAUUCAGCUCCGCGAUUGGACAUACGUCCCUAGCCCUUUGUACACAUUGUCCCCCCCGCCCGUCGCUCCUCCCGCUUGCCUGCUCCGGUGAAGUGUUCGGAUCGCGGCGACGUGGCGGUUCGCUGCCCGCGACGUCGCGAGAAGUCCACUGAACCUUAUCAUUUCGAGGCCGGCGCCGUCGUCCCCCGGUUUCCGUCGGUGCCCCUGCGGCCGGCUCCUUG
rnacentral:ncRNA from 1 species